UACGGAGGAUCCAAGCGUUAUCCGGAAUUACUGGGCGUAAAGAGUUGCGUGGGUGGCAUGGAAAGUUGUUAGUGAAAGCGUGCGGCUCAACCGCAUACACAUUACCAAAACUCCCAAGCUUGAGGACAAGAGAGGUCACUGGAAUUCCUAGUGUAGGAGUGAAAUCCGUAGAUAUCAGGAGGAACACCGGUGGCGAAGGCGGGUCUCUGGGCCGAUACUGACGCUGAGGAGCGAAAGCCAGGGGAGCAAACGGG
rnacentral:rRNA from 1 species